AAGUCAUAACUUAAAAAGGAGACUUCAACCCAGUUGUCCUGAGGAAUCAUCAGCUCCCAGAGAUUCCAAUAACAGAUUUGUCCUGGCUCUUCUUUUCAGUCUUCUUACCUCGAACUUGAACAAAAAAUCCCUGUGACUGCCAAUUCCAGAACUGACUGAAAGAAGGACAAAUGGGUCAGGUGUGCAUAUUACACGCAUACCAGAACUGUGAAUUUAUAAAAGUUAAUUUGGAGUCUCAGUCUAGAUUCUGAUACUUGGAAGUAUUUGAAAGUAAUCCUGGAACCUUCAGGCAGUGCUUUGAGGAGAAAGCACUGACUGUCUAAAGAAGUCACACAACUGUAAAAAUGUGUGUGACACAUAUUUCUGUUGCAUGAUGUAGACUGGUCCAUCUCUGCAGCAUCCAGCAUCACUGUCAUGACUGUCAAGAUACUGACAAGGAGUCAAGCCAAGUCACAGAUGAGGAAAUUCCAUUUCUGUGUGACUCAGUUGCAAAUAACACAUUUUGAGCUGUUUUUGAUCAUUUCCAUAAUCAGUCAAAGAAUCAGCCAAAAGAUGCCGCUUACUACUUGUGUGACCUCGGAUAAGCCACCUAAGGAUGUCUACGCAAGUUUGCAGAAAUGUUCUGUGGAUUUCACUGGUCCCUGCUUCAUGGCUGACACUUCUGAUGGUAGCCAAGAGGAAGGUCUCCAGGGAUUUCAGCUCCAGCUGAGUGAUGUGUUUUUAGCUCCAGAUUGGCAAGCUGUUGGAACGGCAGGCUUUGCUUCCGAGCAAGGCUGAGGAGGUGUUUUGGGGAGGUGGAAGGAUUGGAAGGUAAAAAUUUACCUUGAAAAGCCGAGGGCUGAUCAGACCUAGUUUUUCAUCCUACACUGAGCCCAUAUGAGAGAAUUAAUAAAUGUUUUUAAGUAGUAAGAAGACA
rnacentral:lncRNA from 1 species